rnacentral:rRNA from 1 species
UUCGUGUGAACAGUGGUUGAUCACGAGUUAGUCGGUCCUAAGUUCAAGGCGAAAGCCGAAAAUUUUCAAGUAAAAAUUGUAAUAUGUUAUAUAUAUGUUUGUUAUUAAAAACUUGAAUAAUUUUGAACGAAAGGGAAUACGGAUCCAAUUCCGUAACCUGUUGAGUAUCCGUUUGUUAUUAAAUAUGGGCCUCGUGCUCAUCCUGGCAACAGGAACGACCAUAAAGAAGCCGUCGAGAGAUAUCGGAAGAGUUUUCUUUUCUGUUUUAUAGCCGUACUACCAUGGAAGUCUUUCGCAGAGAGAUAUGGUAGAUGGGCUAGAAGAGCAUGACAUAUACUGUUGUGUCGAUAUUUUCUCCUCGGACCUUGAAAAUUUAUGGUGGGGAUACGCAAACUUCUCAACAGGCCGUACCAAUAUCCGCAGCUGGUCUCCAAGGUGAAGAGUCUCUAGUCGAUAGAAUA